CUCCAGAUGUUGCUGAACUACAACUCCCAUGAUUCUCAGCCUAUUUCCUUCAUAGAAUCAUGGGAGUUGUAGUUCAGCAACAUCUGGAG